CAUAUUCUGUGAUAUCUGAGUGCCUGGCUGUAGAUAACAGAUUUCUUGAUGUGUUUAGGGUGGAUACUGGAUCUGUGAAGACAGGUAGGAUGAUCCAGAGGAU